rnacentral:misc_RNA from 1 species
UUUUUUUUUUUUUCGCGUUGGGUAUCAAUUGACAGGUUACUAACUGGAUUACAGGCAAACCAUCUCUGGCGAGCACGGUCUCGAUGGCGAUGGACAGUAAGUUUUAACUGUGAUGGGGGGUUCCGGUAGAUCAUACAUCUGAUAUCUUCCUAGGUACAAUGGUACCUCCGACCUCCAGCUCGAGCGUAUGAACGUCUACUUCAACCAUGUGAGUCCAACGACUGGAAACCGAAUAAUCGUGCAUCAUCUGAUCGGAUGUUUUCUUUGAUAAUCUAGGCCAGCGGUGACAAGUACGUUCCCCGUGCCGUUCUCGUCGAUUUGGAGCCUGGUACCAUGGACGCUGUCCGCUCCGGUCCUUUCGGCAAGCUUUUCCGCCCCGACAACUC